UAGAAGUUGUCCAGGGCUCCCUGAGGGAGGCCAGCACAAGAGCUCUGCCAUAAAACGACAUUGGACAAAAGUGAAGAGUCCAAUCAGAAACUCUUUUUGAGAGACUGAACGCAAAGCAUUCAGAGAGUCAGCAGGCUGGAGAGGCCAAGACACACACACGAAGAAGGCAAUUGAGAGCUGUACUAGCCUGGCAUGCAGACAGCAGCUUUAGAAUCAGUCUGCCUUCUGACGGCUUCCCACCUAGGAGCCAUGGGACCUUUGUGAAGUCACCAAUUGUGCUGCGGAUGCUUCAUUUGUGAAGGAGAACAGGACUGCCUUAUGAGGAAACUGAGGUACAGAUGGGAAACCUGCUCAAGUUCACACAGCAAUUAAGUGAUCAAGUCCAAGAGCAAAACCAGGCAGGCUGGCUCCAGAGCUCACGAUAGCCCACCACUGCUUUCCACCAUCACUACGGAAUCAAGUCCAUGAGGAUACUUACCUAUGUCAGUUGCCUAAGUUGGAAAUUAUAGAAUCUUCAAAUUGGAAGGGACGUUAUCAUGCAAGAUUUCAACUUUCUACUCACUGCAAAAUCCCUUCUGGAACUUCCCAGAUUGAUGAAUUUUCAUCAGCUCUGCUUGAGUACUCCCAGUGACUUGGAAAAAAAACACUGUAAUAUGGAUAUGAAAUAUAAACUGUUCAUGGAUAAAUUAUUGCAUAAUGAAAACAUGCCUAAUGGCUAUACUCCCCUAAUAUGUUCAUUUGACUUCCCAGGAUUUAGCAACCAGGGCCUGGAAGGCAGACAAAGGUAACUGGCCCCAUGUGAUAAAAACAGGCCCGGGAGCGUCUUCAUUAAGGCGGGCAGUUUUGGGCCACCCGAUCAUGACCAUGGAUCUACGUGCUGGAACUUGAAAGUAUGUCCACGCUCAAGAUUUCUAUCUCUUCUGAAGCAAGAAAGGACUAGUUUUGCAUGCCCUGCCUAUGCACAUCUUUAUGAAAAUGUGACCUUUUCACUCACUUUCUGAACUCCACAAAAGAGUCAGCUUUCUCCUGUUGGUGAUGAAACCAGCUGUUGAAAUACUUCAAUUGGGUUGCAGUUGCUUCUCCUGUGAGCUGCAUGGCCAUCUCUUCUUUUGUUUCAAAAACUUGGCUGGCACUUUCAGCAGCCACUGUGAAGUUGGUUCCUUCUAUGUGUGGGGCUUCUCCACUGCCAGGUUCCUGCAGCAAGUAGCAGUCACCAGCACCCAGUGGCCAGCAGCUUCCUCCACCACCUCCUGCUUGACACUGGAGUAAAUUCCAAAACAUGGCACCACGCUGUGAAUAGCUUCCUUGACACCCAAGAAGGUGUGGCAGAGGAUGUCUUAAGGCUUUAUAAUCAUCACGGACAGAAGCACAUGGUUCAGCUGUACAGAUAAAAUUUGUUGAUUUGAAAUGACCGCAUUUUUCAUUUCAGGUCAAUUAGACUGUGGUUGCAUGGAUGCCAACUGGAUUUUCCAGAAGGAUCCAGAGAAAACGUAGCUGGAUACCAGACAUCCUGCUAAGAAGAAAUGCCUUAGGGGCUGGGCCCAGCAAAGUGUCUACCAGGAGUAGUUGACAAGCCCAGUUGGAGAGAGAUUCUAAAUCAUUAAUUUUAAGCCACUGGAAAUUAAAAGGUCAAAACUGGGCAAGUGGCAACAAAGAGACUUUCAACCUGAAAACUGGUCAUCAUUUCAAAAGCCCCAUUUGGAAGCAAACCCUGGGAUUAUCAAGGAGACAGCCACGCAGGAUGAGCUGCAAUGGUGGUGGAGACAGAGGGUGGAUGUCUUGGCUUAAGAACAUAGGGCUACAUAAACACCCCUUGGUCUUCUGCUUACCAAUAAAGAAAUAGAAAACAA